GUCUAUGGCCAUAGCACCCUGAACACACCCAAUCUCAUCUGAUGGCAGAAGCUAAGCAAGGUCGGGCCUGGUUAGUACUUGGAUGGGAGAAAAGCAAAGAAGAUGUCCUGCUAGGCA
ensembl:rRNA 5S_rRNA 5S ribosomal RNA